GUCCUUAAGAAGGAGAGGAGGUACAGAACUCACAUCACAGGAAGACUCAGUGGAGAUGUUAGAGGCCUUAACGAGUGGUGUGAUAAACUGAGGUGCUCAGAAGGUGUGUUCAACAGGUGUCAUUCUAAUUAAAGUGUCUAAAUUCUGAAUGACAAUAUAUUCCUUGUUGUGUCUCCUGGUUAAAAUUACAGGACUCAAUUAAGAUUGUUAUGGAAAUUGAAAUAUAACUGGAACUCCGGCAACAGUCUCCUCCACUGUGGAGGAGUUCACCUGAAUAUUGUGGAGGAGACGAUUGCUGGAGUAUUUCAAUUUUCAUUACAAUUUUAAUUGAGUCCUGGUAAUCACACGUUUGGUGAAACUGAAGAGAUGUUGGUGUUCUAUAGCAAAAUGUUUUUGGUACAAACAAAUAUUUUAGUCAUGGUCAUUUUCUUUUUGCCGGUUAGUAAGGCUUCAGACAGGAACUGGUCUUCAUCGGUUUUCAGGACAACCUCACCAUGGGGGUGUUAAUGAUGUUCUUGCUUCUCAGUGCUGCUUAUUCUUUGGGAGAUGCAAGUUUUAGUAAGGACUCCCCUCAUAUUUUUAACAUGGUGUCAUUUAAUAGUUUAAUGCAGUAUGUAGCUCAAACUUGUUUAUUGUAAACUGAAAUACACAAUGUACCCUGUUGUCUUAAUCAGCCAUUUAGACUGGUCAAUAUCUUACUGUUUUACAGGGACACCUGAAUGUAAUCAGGGAUGGCAGCAGUUUGGAUCCCGCUGCUUCAGUUUUGAAGGACUGAGGUCAUGGACUUCAGGGACAGUCUUGCUCCCAGAUCUGACAGGAGCUGGUCCUGGACUGAUGGAUCUGGGUUUAAUUACCACGAAUGGGCACAAGGGGAACCCAACAACUAUAAUGGUGUCAGAGACGUGUAUUCAGAUGAACUUUGGAGAUAAACAUCGCUGGAACGACGACGUCUGUGAGAAGCGCUUUGCAUCAGUCUGCUCCAGAAGCCAUUAAAUGAACUUGUUGCUGUGACAUCAUCCUGUUGAAUGAUGUGGUUGUCAAUAAAACAGCUGAACACAUUUCUUGUGUCAUUUGGUUUAAUUUUACAUCAUGUCCUUGAGGGUUGUU
rnacentral:lncRNA from 1 species